GUCGGGCUGGCUGUCGCUCAAGCCUGCAAGGACCAAUCAGCUCUGGGGGCCGGCCGGCGGCAGCAUGGCGGGUUCUGAGGGCGGCCGGUCCCGGCUGGCGGAACGCGGCGUGUCCCGAGCAGCGCGGAGGCCGCAGCCCCGGCUGCUGAGCACAAACCGCCCUUUGUGUGCUUUGCGUGCUCCUUCGGCAGCCGCUGCAUUUCCCGGUUCCUGGAUAUGCUGUUCCCCGUCACACUGCAGCGCCCAUGGAGCGGCAGCGGGAGCGCUGUCUCUCGGCCCGCAGCCCCGCUGCUGAAAGCCAAGGCGCGGGGGCAGAGGCCGAGCCUCAGGUAACUCAGCCCGACUGCCCACUGGGCUUUAGUUCCCCACCAGAUGGGAGCCAAGGCCCGUCUCCACCCCAGGGUUUCCCUGAGCACAGCACGCUCGCUGUGUUUUGUACAAGCCGCUCGUGAGGAGCCGUCGCCUCUUUCUUUUCACAUCCUACUGCCCCUUUUUCACCCUGUAACCAGGCUGCUUUAUUAACACUGUUGCCGCUGCCACGCUAACACAAGGCUCUCUGCAAGCCCACAUCACAAAUCUCGCGUUUACCUUCAGUAAAUAAGCAGGUGUCUUGAGAUUGUAGUGAAGAUUAGUAUCAGUUGCCUUUCCUGAUCUGUCAGAAGCUGCUCCACAUCCUCUGGAUGAAGGGAAGACCAAUUAAUUUGGGGAGCUGGAAUCCUGACUGCACCUCACAGGGAGACAAGUACUGGAAAAGCUUCCAUUCUCUCAGCUAUAGGGUAAUACAACAUUACUUGGAUGAUGCAUUCUCAGGCAGAAUAAACAGCUGCCAUAACAGGGACUUGAAAACUCUGAAGAUUCCAGCUGGAGUAAAAUGGAUGCACAUGUUUGAUACUUUCAGGACCAGAGUGAAUAAACACCUUGCACACAGAUAAUGGAAAAUAAAGCUAUUCAUUUCCUUCUGUUUGAGCACUGGGGGUUUGUAAAUGCUAAGGCAGGUGGCUACUUUGCCAUCACUUAGCAACAUCAGGUUUUGACACACAACUGCUUCCUGGUCUCCCAGCCAGGUGGGCAAGGGAGGAUUCCCAAAGCCCCUGCUGCAGAUGGGAGAACUGACAAAUCACUCUGAGCUGAGGCUGCACUGAUGCAAAGGUG